AUGAGACUGUGGCCCCCCCUCGCUUUCUUUCUAGCGGCCCUUCGAGGUGUUCGGUCACAGGUCCAGCUGGUGGAGUCCGGAGGAGGGAUUCAAACGCCGGGGGGAUCUCUCCGCCUCUCCUGCAAAGCCUCCGGAUUCACCUUCAGCAGCUACUGGAUGGACUGGGUCCGUCAGGCGCCGGGGAAAGGACUCAAGUGGGUCGCACAGAUACUCAAUCCUGCUCAUAGUUCAGCAGCAUAUUACAGUGAUGCGGUUAAAGGGCGAUUCACCAUCUCCAGAGACGAGUCCCGCAGCUCGGUGUAUCUGCAAAUGAACAAUCUGAGAGCCGAAGACACCGCCCGGUAUUACUGUGUGAGAGACACAGUGAUCAGAAACCUCCUGUGGUUAGCACAGAAACCUCCAGUGUGA